rnacentral:lncRNA from 10 species
CCGCCUCUGAUCCUGCAGGCCCGCCCAGUCCUCGAUCGCCCCGCCCCGGUCGCUUGGGCCCUGGGUGGCAGGUUUGCGCAGCCCUGCGGCGAUUUCAAGGCAAGUGACCGGAAUGGGUCGGAAGCGCGUCCCGGUGAGUUUCAGGGAGCGUCCCUUAGGUUUCCGGGGGCGGCGUUGAACCUCCCUAGCCCCAGUCUUCCCAUCCCAGGAGACCCGCCCCUAGUGGCUCGAACGCCCCUAGCCAGGAGAGCCCCGAGUAGUGCCACUUGUGGAAGACUACGUGCCUGUCGGAAUUAGGAACCGCACCUCCCCUUCCGCUAAGCGGUGGGAGGCCAGGCGGGUGACGCGGAGCAGUGGAGCCAUGCAGCCUGUUUUACCAAAAGAUCUCCCUCUGAUGCCGAGCCGAAACUGGACUGUACUGCUGCCAUCUCGGCUCACUGCAACCUCCCUGCCUGAUUCUCCUGCCUCAGCCUGCCCAGUGCCUGUGAUUGCAGGCGCGCGCCGCCACGCCUGACUGGUUUUCGUAUAUUUUUUUUGGUGGAAACGGGGUUUCGCUGUGUUGGCCGGGCUGGUCUCCAGCUCCUAACCACGAGUGAUCUGCCAGCCUCGGCCUCCCAAGGUGCCGGGAUUGCAGAUGGAGUCUCGUUCACUCAGUGCUCAAUGUUGCCCAGGCUGGAGUGCAGUGGCUUGAUCUCGGCUAGCUACAACCUCCACCUCCCAGCCGCCUGCCUUGGCCUCCCAAAGUGCCGAGAUUGUAGCCUCUGCCCGGCCGCCACCCGGUCUGGGAAGUGAGCGUCUCUGCCUGGCCGCCCAUCGUCUGGGAUGUGAGGAGCCCCUCUGCCCGGCUGCCCAGCCUGGGAAGUGAGGAGUGCCUCUUCCUGGCCAUCAUGUCUAGGAAGUGAGGAUCAUCUCUGCCUGGCCGCCAAUCGUCUGAGAUGUGGGGAGUGCCUCUGCCCCGCCGCCCCAUCUGGGAUGUGAGGAGCGCCUCUGCCCGGCCGAGACCCCAUCUGGGAGGUGAGGAGCGUCUCUGCCCGGCCGCCCCGUCUGAAGUGAGGAGCCCCUCUGCCCGACAGCCGCCCCAUCUGAGAAGUGAGGAGCCCCUCCGCCCGGCAGCCGCCCCGUCUGAGAAGUGAGGAGCCCCUCUGCCCAGCAGCUGCCCCGUCUGGGAAGUGAGGAACGUCUCCAUCCGGCAGCCGCCCUGUCUGGGAGGGAGGCGGGGGGCAGCCCCCGCCCGGCCAGCCGACCCGACCGGGAGGGAGGUGGGGGGGCAGCCCCCGCCCCGCCAGCCGCCCCGUCCGGGAGGGAGGUAGGGGGGCAGCCCCCGCCCGGCCAGCCGCUCCGUCCAGGAGGGAGGUGGGGGGCGCCUCUGCCCUGCCGCCCCUUCUGGGAAGUGAGGAGCCCCUCUGCCCGGCUGCCACCCCGUCUGGUAGGUGUACCCAACAGCUCAUUGAGAACGGGCCAUGAUGACGAUGACGGUCUUGUCGAAUAGUAAAGGGGGAAAUGUGGGGAAAAGAUAGAGAAAUCAGAUUGUUGCUAUGUCUGUGUAGUAAGAAGUAGACAUGGGAGACGCCAUUUUGUUCUGUACUAAGAAAAAUUCUUCUGCCUUGGGAUCCUGUUGAUCUUUGACCUUACCCCCAACCCUGUGCUCUCUGAAACAUGU